CUGUUUGUUUGAUCUAAAAACUCCGGUAAUGCUCUAUAACUUGGUUCUGGCGAGGGAUACAGGUUGGGGGUGUUACAGAAAUACCAUUACUUUUUUACAUUAUUUUACCUAUUUGGUGAAUCAGAGGCGGGGCACAACCCCACUUUUUGGAUCCAAGGCCGGCUUGUCGAUUGAUCUAGGUGAAAAACAUUAUCAGUUAGGGAGUUUGACUGGGGCGACACAUCUAUUAAAAGAUAAUGUAGGUUCCCUAGGAUGAGCUCAAAAAGAACAAAAAUCUCAUGUGGAACAAAAGAGUAAAAGCUCGUUUGGUUCUAAUUUCUAGUAAGAAUACAAACCUUAAAAGCCUGGCAUGUCAAUCCUUUUAUCCUUCAGAUUUUGAAGCUCGAGGUGUUAGAAAAUUUACCAUAGUGAUAAAUGGCUUGUGGCAAUCAAGUGUUCAUAGUGGCAUUGCUUUUUGAUGGCCUUUCCGAUCAUUAUUAAGUAUAAUUCACCAAGUGUUGGAUUUUUCACUCACUAAUAGGGAGCGUGAGAUGGGUUUAGACUGUCGUGAGACAAAUUAGUUUUACCCUACUAAUGGCCACUUCCCAAUAGUAAUUUAACCUAGUACGAGAGAAACUAUUAAUUCAUGUAAUUGGUUGCUGCAUAUUUUUCAAAAGCCAGUGGCGCGAAGCUACGUGUUUCGAUUAUGAUUGAACGCCUUUAAGCCAGAACCUAGACUACAAGCAACGCACACACCCCCUCCCAAUUGUCAAUCCGCAGUAGAGGCCUUUAGCCCCCAAGUGCACAUGUCGUAGGUGUAGUGACAACAGUGGACAAGUCGCAAGCACCUCUUUGAAGCAUAAUUUCCACCCAGAAAAGGGUAGAAUCCUUUUCAAAUGACUUAAAUACACGACGGGAUAUUGUAAGUGGUAGAGUGGCCUUGCUGCCACAAUCCACUAAGAUUCAACCCUUUUUUGUUUUGAUUC
rnacentral:ncRNA from 1 species